UUGACAGCACACAGUGAGAAUUUCUGUUUAUAAGAAAAAUAAAUUUGUGCUCUCUCUCCAGUUCCACUGCUCAAAAUUACUCCUGAAGGGAUAAGGACCCCAGGACAUGCCACUGGACCACUGAAGGGAUUUUUCAUUAUGUUCGACAUUUGGAAAUUUCAACUGAAGAUAAUUGCAGGUAAGCGUCCACCAACCGAUGUAUUGAUUUUCCAUGGUAGUUUUUAAAAUGGGUACUUGUAC
rnacentral:lncRNA from 1 species